GCCACUUCCAGCUGGUGGAAUGAAGCCUGGUGGGCGUGGGCGGGUGUCUGGUGCCAUCCUGCCACAGGAGGGUGGCAGCCUGGCGGGCUGUGGUCGCUGCUAGCCACAGGGAAGGCGAUUCUGCGGCUGUCAGCAGCAGAAGUGGGUGCCAGGUCAUGUACGCUGGAAGCAUCUGGGCUGUACCUGCUCCCGGCUUCAGACACCCACAGCUUCCCAGCUCAGCAUUUUAAUUAUGCUGCCGUCAGAGAGCGUGCUUUUCAUACAAGGAGGGGUUGCCCAGACAUUUUUAUUUUUCCAAGGGUGGGCAGCACUGCCUUACCUCAGGCUCAAACCACAUCUGAUUAGAAAACAGCUGUGGGUGAAUUUCACAGCAGGCUGCCCCCAGGAGUAUCCUGUUCUUGGAGGUCAGACAGGUCCUCAUUUCCAUCUCCUUGCUGGGGAAGCUCAGCCCCAAGAGAGGAGGAAACUUCGCCUCCUAGCCUAGGGUGACUCCUCAAAGGGACAGCAGAGCCACCGAAAGGAACAUUUGCAGCAUUUUGCCUCCUGCCUUCUUUCCUUGCUGGCCACGACUGUGCACAACAAGCUGAAGGCUCCAAUGUAUCCAGACAGGAUGAGGCAGUUGCUUCAGAAUAAGUAUUUACAGUGCUUAUCAGGUAGUGACUGGGGUUUCCCAAAGUUUCUUCAUAGACUGUGACCAUGCUGGGGAGAUUGUUGACUCUGGCUUCCCCAGGCCAGAGCAGGAACCACAAAGAUGGAACUGGGGCCCGCUCAGAGGUUCCUGGCUGAGCAGCCACUGAACAUCCAAGGAGUUUCCCCUCUCCAUUCCCUUCCUGGGUUGACAGAGCCAGCUGCCACAUCUGGUGAUGGUGUCACCUCCCAUAAUAAACUCACUCACAGCCAAGAGCUGCUCUGGAGUUCCUUUGCCUUCUAACCUUGCUCCCUGCAAAACAGGUGUCCAAACUUCUGGCUUCCUGGUGUCACUGCGCCUGCACUUCUGUCUCUCCAACCCCUCCAGGGCACUAGGUAGACCACAGGCUGGGCCAAAGAGCCCUGCAUGUCCUCUGGAAGACCUGGCCUCUCAUUAGUGGCCCCCCUAAGCCACGUCCGCACCAACAGGCCUCCCAGGAGGGGCAGGAAAACACAGCUUCACUAAACAGUACAACAAAGGCCAUGAUUCUGAUCUUGCAGGAUGGUGUGAAGAUAAAAUAAGAAUCCCCCCUUUACUUUAAUUUAACAAAUAUUUAUCAAACAUUUCUUAUGUUCUGGGCCCAGAAACAUGGUCACUUCUCAAGCAUUUGGUAAAUGCUCUGGAACAUGGUAGUAGAGAAGGGAGUAGUUUUUUUGGACAAUGUAAGUAAGUGUGGCAGAGACUGCAGCGCUCACCAGUACCCAGCACUGCACUACAUCCCCAGCAUCCCUGGCAAUUAGACGGAGCCUUGUGACUGGGCUCUGGCCCAUGAAAUGUGAGCUGAAGCGGUGUGUGCCAUGGCUAGGACCGGCCCCCCAAACCUCCACAGGAUACAAAAAUGAACUCAAAAUGGGUAAUGAACCUAAAUGUAAAACAUAAAAUUUUUAGAAAAGAAAUUGAGGAAAGUCUUUGGGAUACAUGGCUAGGCAAAAGAAUUCUUAGGCUUGACAUAAAAUCACAAUCCAUAAAAGACAAAAACAAUAAUUGCACUUUAUCAAAAUUAAAAGCCUUUGCUCUGAGAAAGAUACUGUUCAGAGGAUGAGAAGACAAGCUACAGACUGGGAGAAAAUAUUUGCAAAACAUAUACCCUUAUGUCUAGACUAUAUAUAAUGAUUUCUUAAAACUCCAUUGUCAGAAAGAAACAAUCUAAUUAGAAAAUGGACAAAAAACCAAAACCAACCCAAAACAUGAGGAUGCCUGUCAUAGAAGAGGAUAUACAGAAGCAAAUAGGCAUAUGAAAAGGUGUUUGAUAUCAUUAACCAUCAGGGAGAUGCAAAUUAAAAUGACAAUGAGAUAUCAUCACAUACCUAUCAAAUUGGCUAAAAUGGAAAACAGUGGUCCACCAUCAAAAAAAAUGGCAACACUGAAUGAUGGCGAGGGUUAUAGAAAAUGGAUCACCCAUUCAUUUCAGGUGGGAAUAUAAAACUGAACAGGCAACUGUCUUCCACACCAGCAUUUCCACUCCUCAGCAUUUAUCCCAAAGAAACGAAGACUUAUGUUCACACAAAAACCUCUAGGAAAAUGUUUGCAGCAGCUGUAGUCACAGUAGCCCAAAACUGGAAGUCUCCUUCAAUGGGUGAAUGGUUGAACAAACUGUGGUACAUCUAUACCAUGGAGUACUAUUCAGAAGUAAAAAAGAACAAGCUAUUGCUAAAUGCAUGGAAUAACCUGAAAGACUCUCCAGGGAAUUCUGCCAAAUGAAAAAGCCAGUCUCAAAAGUGUACAUGCUGUGUUAUUCCACAUAUACAUAAUAUUAUUAAAAUGAAAAAAUUAUAGAGAUGGAGAACAGAUUUGUGGUUGCCAGCAUUUUAAGAGAGGUAGAGGUGGGAGGGAAGCAGAUAAAAGGGCAGCAUGAGAUAUGCUUGUGGUGCUGGGACUGUUUUCUGUUUUGACUCUACUGAUGUUGGCAUUGGUUGUGAUGUUGUACUAGAGUUUUUUAUGAUGUUACCACGGAGAGAAACUGGGUGAAGGGUACACAGGAUCUUUCUGCAUUAUUUCCCCCUCAAACACGCGAUCUUUGUCCUUUUCCCUCAUCCACUGGAUGAAUGGAGACACUCCUAGGACCUAGAGGAGGGCAAGCCACAGCAAGAAGGAAUCUGGAUCCCUGAAUGACUGUGUGGAAUAAAGUCGCCUCCUCACCCUCACACACUGGGCUGAGAUGUAAUCAAGGAACAAAUUUUCAUGUGCUAAUCCACCGAUGUUUGGGGGUUGUUUGUUACUGUAGUCACUUCUACUUACCCUGACUGAUAACACAUUGGAGGAUCUGGGGUUUUAACCCAAAUUUAGGGAGUGAACUAAGUGUGCUGAUUUUUCCAUGGAGCUACUUUGGUUUCUAGUACAAAGAAAAUUAUCCCAUCUCCCUGUCUGUACACAAGCCUGGGAUCAAUUUCCACCUUCAGCACAUAUUGGUUUUGAAAGUUUGAGUAAGUCACUGGACAUCUAAGCUUCAUUCUCCUUGGCUGCAAGAGUCGGGAGUUAGGAAGGGAGGUGCACCUACAUGAAAGUACUGAGUACUCCACCUUCCAAGACUAGGGGGCAGGGUUAUGUGCCCAGCAACUUCCUCGUGGUUUUCUUUGUGAUCCGAUUCUUCUGGUCUUCAAGUCACUCUC